AAAGACUUGACGGUGCUUCACAACAACCUAGAGGAGUCUGUCUAAUAACCGAUACUCCACGUUUAACCCCACCCACUCUAGCCUAACAGUCUAUAUACCGCCGUCGCCAGCCUACCUUGUGAAAGAAACAAAGUAGGUGUAACAAGAACCCCCUAGUACGACAGGUCGAGGUGUAACCAAUGAGUGGGCAAAAGAUGGACUACAUUUUCUAAUACAGAAUACACGAAUAAACUAUGAAACUAGAAACUGAAGGCGGAUUUAGCAGUACGAUAGGAAUAAAAUACCUACCCGAAACCAACGCAAUGAAGUGCGUACACACCGCCCGUCAUCCCUG
rnacentral:rRNA from 1 species